rnacentral:rRNA from 1 species
CCUCAAAUCAGGUAGGACUACCCGCUGAACUUAAGCAUAUCAAUAAGCGGAGGAAAAGAAACUAACAAGGAUUCCCCUAGUAACUGCGAGUGAAGCGGGAAAAGCUCAAAUUUAAAAUCUGGUGGUCUCCGGCCAUCCGAGUUGUAAUCUAGAGAAGUGUUACCCGCGUCGGACCGUGUACAAGUCUCCUGGAAUGGAGCGUCAUAGAGGGUGAGAAUCCCGUCUUUGACACGGACCCCCGAGGCUUUGUGGUGCGCUCUCAAAGAGUCGAGUUGUUUGGGAAUGCAGCUCAAAAUGGGUGGUAAAUUCCAUCUAAAGCUAAAUAUUGGCGAGAGACCGAUAGCGAACAAGUACCGUGAGGGAAAGAUGAAAAGAACUUUGGAAAGAGAGUUAAACAGUACGUGAAAUUGCUGAAAGGGAAACGCUUGAAGUCAGUCGCGUCGGCCGGAAAUCAGCCUUGCUCUUGCUUGGUGUACUUUCUGGCUGACGGGCCAGCAUCAGUUUUGACCGGUGGAUAAAGUUGUGAGGAAUGUGGCAUCUUCGGGUGUGUUAUAGCCUCGCUUCGUAUACAUCGGUUGGGACUGAGGAACUCAGCACGCCGAAAGGCCGGGGUUCGCCCACGUUCGUGCUUAGGAUGUUGGCAUAAU